AAAGUUUUAAGUUAAUUAAACUAAUAAUCUUCAAAAUUAUAAAUAAAUAAAUAUAUUUAAACUUUA
rnacentral:tRNA from 1 species